rnacentral:rRNA from 1 species
CUAGGCGUCUUCGGCGUCCGCAUUGUAAUCUCAAGAAGUGUUUUCCGCUUCGGACCAUGCCUAAGUCCCUUGGAAAAGGGCAUCAUAGAGGGUGAUAAUCCCGUACAUGGCAGGGAGCGCCCGAGGCUUUGUGAUACGCUUUCUAAGAGUCGAGUUGUUUGGGAAUGCAGCUCAAAAUGGGUGGUAAAUGCCAUCUAAGGCUAAAUAUUGGGGAGAGACCGAUAGCGAACAAGUACAGUGAUGGAAAGAUGAAAAGAACUUUGAAAAGAGAGUUAAACAGUACGUGAAAUUGCCAAAAGGGAAGGGUAGGAGGUCAGAGAUGCGUCUUGGGAUUCAGCCUUGCUUUUGCUUGGUGUUUUUCCCAAGUUGCAGGCCAACGUCGGUUUUGGGCACUGGAGAAGGGUGGAAGGAACGUGGCACCUCUCGGGGUGUGUUAUAGCCUUCUACUGGAUACAGCGACCGAGACCGAGGACAGCAGCGUACUCGCAAGAGCGGGCCUUCGGGCACCUUUACGCUUAGGGCGUUGGCAUAAUGGCCCUCUACCACC